GCCCCACAAAACCCUUGUGAGGUGUAACCUGCCCAAUGGUUGUAAAUAAAUUAUAAAAGCAACUCAAUGGCCGCGGUAACUCUGACCGUGAUAAAGUAGCAUAAUCACUUGUCACUUAAUUGGUGACUGGAAUGAAUGGUCAAACGAAUCCUCCUCUGUCUCUGAGAAAAUUCCGGUGAAUUUGGAAUAACAGUGAAGAUGCUGUUAAACAACUGUAAGACGAAAAGACCCUAUCGAGCUUUACUGGAAGCUUGUGAAUGUGAAAGAACAUUAACCUACAAAUUCUUAAAUACCGCAAGCUUGACAGUUUGGUUGGGGCGACCACCCCUAAAAAAGCAUCAGGGGAACUCCAAAGGUUAUUUCUAAAUGGAAAACGCCUAACUGAAAACAAACAAGUUAACCAGUUACCAUAAGUAGGACAUAUUGACCCGUUGCACCUGUCACGAAGCGCAACGACUAUGAAAAAAGUUACCGUAGGGAUAACAGGGUAAUAUUUUCGGAGAGUUCAUAUCGAUGAAAAUGUUUGCCACCUCGAUGUUGAAUUGUGAUAUCCUAGGGGUGCAGCAGCUCCUAAGGGUUG
rnacentral:rRNA from 1 species